rnacentral:rRNA from 1 species
UACGUAGGUGGCAAGCGUUGUCCGGAAUUAUUGGGCGUAAAGCGCGCGCAGGCGGUUUCUUAAGUCUGAUGUGAAAGCCCCCGGCUCAACCGGGGAGGGGCAUUGGAAACUGGGAAACUUGAGUGCAGGAGAGAAGAGCGGAAUUCCACGUGUAGCGGUGAAAUGCGUAGAGAUGUGGAGGAACACCAGUGGCGAAGGCGGCUCUUUGGCCUGUAACUGACGCUGAGGCGCGAAAGCGUGGGGAGCAAACAGG